rnacentral:misc_RNA from 1 species
AACUAUCAAAACACUUUUUUUGUUGAAGUGUUUUGGACUUUGGGAGUACUGUGCUGGUCUCUUUUGUUUUGGACCCAGCUCUCCUCAAAAGCAUUAACUUUGGAGAACCAUCAGUGUGAUAUAUCAUUUUGUUUAUACGCUGGCUUUCUCCUUUUAAAAAUGCCC